GAUGAACGCUGGCGGCGUGCCUAAUACAUGCAAGUCGAGCGAACGGACGAGAAGCUUGCUUCUCUGAUGUUAGCGGCGGACGGGUGAGUAACACGUGGAUAACCUACCUAUAAGACUGGGAUAACUUCGGGAAACCGGAGCUAAUACCGGAUAAUAUUUUGAACCGCAUGGUUCAAAAGUGAAAGACGGUCUUGCUGUCACUUAUAGAUGGAUCCGCGCUGCAUUAGCUAGUUGGUAAGGUAACGGCUUACCAAGGCAACGAUGCAUAGCCGACCUGAGAGGGUGAACGGCCACACUGGGACUGAGACACGGUCCAGACUCCUAGGGGAGGCAGCGGUAGCGAAUCUUCCGCAAUGGGCGAAAGCCUGACGGAGCAGCGCCGCGUGAGUGAUGAAGGUCUUCGGAUCGUAAAACUCUGUUAUUAGGGAAGAACAUAUGUGUAAGUAACUGUGCACAUCUUGACGGUACCUAAUCAGAAAGCCACGGCUAACUACGUG
rnacentral:rRNA from 1 species